rnacentral:rRNA from 1 species
UACGUAGGUGGCGAGCGUUGUCCGGAUUUACUGGGCGUAAAGAGCGCGCAGGCGGUCGUAUAAGUCGAAUGUGAAAGCCCCUGGCUCAACUAGGGAGAGUCAUUCGAUACUGUUCGACUCGAAGGCAGGAGAGGGAAGUGGAAUUCCGGGUGUAGUGGUGAAAUGCGCAGAUAUCGGGAAGAACACCCGUGGCGAAGGCGGUUCUCUGGGACGGUACUGACGCUGAGACGCGAAAGCGUGGGGAGCGAACAGG